rnacentral:lncRNA from 1 species
CCUCCUCCGCCACCUCCACCACCUCCGUUCAAGCUUCCAAGUUCUACUGCUGGAGCUACUGCAAAGCCACAACCGCCACCGCCACCGCCACCUCCACCUCCUCCACCGUUUCCUCGAGGGAAUUUAGGUGCCCCACCUCCGCCUCCACCACCGUUGCCUCGAGGGAAUUCAGCUGCACCACCACCUCCGCCUCCUCCACCGUUGCCUCGAUGGAAUUCAGCUGCACCACCUCCGCCUCCUCCACCACUGCCUCGAGGAAAUUCAUCUGCACCGCCGCCUCCGCCUCCCCCACCUCCUCCGUUGCCUCGAGGAAAUUCGGCUGCACCACCACCACCACCACCGCCUCCACCACUCCCUCGUGGCAAUGCCGCUCCUCCACCGCCACGUCCAGUCCCUACUGCCCCUCCUCCACCUCCUCUUCCACAAGCUGCAAGGCCUCUAGCUUCAUCAAGCUCACCACCGCCGCCGCCGCCUUUACCGGGAAUGCGAGGCACUCCUCCGCCUCCACCUCCGCCUUUGAAAGGACCGCCUCCACCUCCGCCUCCUCCUCUGGGGACGAAGUCACCAUUGCCUGGUGCACCACCUCCUCCGCCACCUGCAUUGGGGAGAGGACGAGGUAGUAGUCCUUUGACACC